rnacentral:tRNA from 1 species
GCCUUCGUGGUGUAACGGUUAGCACACUCGGUUCGUAUUUGAGAGGUCAAAGUUCGAGUCCCGGCGAGGGCA